rnacentral:rRNA from 1 species
UGGGGAAUUUUGGACAAUGGGGGCAACCCUGAUCCAGCAAUGCCGCGUGAGUGAAGAAGGCCUUCGGGUUGUAAGGCUCUUUUGUCAGGGAAGAAACGGUAGUAGCGAAUAACUAUUACUAAUGACGGUACCUGAAGAAUAAGCACCGGCUAACUACGUGCCAGCAGCCGCGGUAAUACGUAGGGUGCAAGCGUUAAUCGGAAUUACUGGGCGUAAAGCGUGCGCAGGCGGUUGUGUAAGUCAGAUGUGAAAUCCCCGGGCUCAACCUGGGAAUUGCAUUUGAGACUGCACGGCUAGAGUGUGUCAGAGGGGGUAGAAUUCCACGUGUAGCGGUGAAAUGCGUAGAUAUCGGGAGGAACACCUGAGGCGAAGGCGGGCUACUGGGCUGAUACUGACGCUGAGGCGCGAAAGCUAGGGGAGCAAACGGGAUUAGAUACCCCAGUAGUCCCUGAGCGGGCUGGCAAGGCGCAU